rnacentral:rRNA from 1 species
AACGAACGCUGGCGGCAUGCCUAACACAUGCAAGUCGAACGAGACCUUCGGGUCUAGUGGCGCACGGGUGCGUAACGCGUGGGAACCUGCCCUUAGGUUCGGAAUAACUCCCCGAAAGGGGUGCUAAUACCGGAUAAUGUCUUCGGACCAAAGAUUUAUCGCCUUUGGAUGGGCCCGCGUUGGAUUAGCUAGUUGGUAGGGUAAAAGCCUACCAAGGCGACGAUUCAUAGCUGGUCUGAGAGGAUGAUCAGCCACACUGGGACUGAGACACGGCCCAGACUCCUACGGGAGGCAGCAGUGGGGAAUAUUGGACAAUGGGCGAAAGCCUGAUCCAGCAAUGCCGCGUGAGUGAUGAAGGCCUUAGGGUUGUAAAGCUCUUUUACCCGGGAUGAUAAUGACAGUACCGGGAGAAUAAGCGCCGGCUAACUCCGUG